ACUUUCUUCAUCAUUAUGCCUUUGAACAUUUCUAAGUUGGUCCAUGACGAAAAAACUUUUUCGAUCAGCUCGAAAUUUUCUAAGUCUCAAAUUUUAGUUGACUCAAGAUUGAUCUCACGGGUAACGGGUAAGCGUAAUAGAAUUCAUAAUGAUCGGACGGGUAAGGAUUCAUUUGCAUAUACGUAUACUGUCUGAAAGUUUAUAUGUUAAAAUGUGCUUUAAAAUUCUCCUGAGCCAAAACUUUCUCCGUCGUUAUGCGUUUUGAGCAUUUCUAAGUCGGUCCAUGACGAAAAAACUUUUUCGAUCAGCUCGAAAUUUUCUAAGUCUCAAACUUUAAUUGACUCAAGAUUGAUCCCACGGGUAACGGGUAAGCAUAAUUGUAUUUAUAAUGAACGGACGGGUACGGAUUCAUUUGCAUAUACGUAUACUGUCUGAAAGUUGAUAUGUCAAGAUGUGCUUUAAAAUUCUCCUUUAAAAUGUUUAUAUGUUAUACACUGUCUAUAUUAUAAAUGUAGUUUUUUUAUAAGAAUGCUUCUGCAUGAGUAUUGUGUUAUUUCGUUACCCGCAUACCCAAUGCGCACGCGCUGGGUUAUCGCGUCCCACAAGCCUUCCAUCAACGGAGUCGCAACUGUAUAUACACGGAACCCGUACCAUGUAGUAAUGUGUGGAAGGCGAUAUAUUCCAGAAUCUUGCGAAAAGGGUGUCGGCACAUAAUGGUUUGGGGGCCGCCAGCACUCUCCCCCGUAGUUCGUUAAGAUUCCGUAUGGUAUAUAUCACCAUGUCUGGCGGCUAACACGAGACAACUCCCGUUCUCUUCGUGAAUGUUAGCUGGAAAUUUUUAUUUAUUUCUAUUAAUUUUUAUUUACACACAUAUAAGAUAUAUGUUUGCAAAACCAAAAAUUUUCCUUACAAAAAUUGUCAACUUUCACCAUGUAAAACAUGUCCAGCACGUUUUUUAUAUAGAUAUAUUUCUGUAUAUUUACAAUGUUUCGAACAGACGGGGAAAAUUUUCCUCACAAACAGACGACUGUACGAGCGUGCUCAUGAGCAUACUGGAUGUUAAGGAUGCCAGAUUUCGGCAUACCCGGCAGUAGCCUCGGCGAUUUGUCGCGAUGAAUUAAGGAUAUGGGAUUUCGGCAUACCUUGUAGCUAGCCAAUGUUUGUGAUGGCUAUAUUAAAAAGUAGUAUGUGGCCCUUUAUAGCUGCAGUACUAGAAAUCCGGGUAACGCGGAGCGUAGAACAAUCUAAGAAAAAGUAUAAGCCUACUGAGUAAGACGGAUCAGCAAGUCUGUAAGUCAAAAUGUGCUUUAAAAUUCCCCUGAACCAAAAUUUUCUCCAUCAAUACGCGUUUUGAAUCUUUUUAGGUUGAUCUAUGUCUAUGACGAAAAAACUCGGACGUUCCAUCAGUCGAAAUUUAGUUGACUCGAAAAUCCCGGAUAACGGAUAAGGUUAGUAUAACUUAUUAUUAAGGAUGGAUAACGAACAUUUGCAUAAGUCAUCUCAAAUUUGAAAAUGUGUUCCAAAAUUCUCCUGAGCCAAAUCUUUCUGCAUAAUUAUGCGUUUUGAUUAUUUCUAAGUCGGCCCAUGACGAAAAAACUUUUUCGAUCAGCUCGAAAUUUUCUAAGUCUCAAAUUUUAGUUGACUCAAGAUUGAUCCCACGGGUAACGGGUAAGCGUAAUAGAAUUCAUAAUGAUCGGACGGGUAAGGAUUCAUUUGCAUAUACGUAUACUGUCUGAAAGUUUAUAUGUCAAAAUGUGCUUUAAAAUUCUCCUGAGCCAAAACUUCUGCAUCAUUAUGCGUUUUGAACAUUUCUAAGUCGGUCCAUGACGAAAAAACCUUUUCGAUCAGCUCGAAAUUUUCUAAGUCUCAAACUUUAGUUGACUCAAGAUUGGUUCCACGGGUAACGGGUAAGCGUAAUAGCAUUUAUAAUGAUCGGACGGGUAAGGAUUCAUUUGCAUAUACGUAUACUGUCUAAAAGUUUAUAUGUCAAAAUGUGCUUCAAAAUUUUCCUGAGCCAAAACUUUCUUCAUCAUUAUGCCUUUUGAACAUUUCUAAGUUGGUCCAUGACGAAAAAACUUUUUCGAUCAGCUCGAAAUUUUCUGAGUCUCAAAUUUUAGUUGACUCAAGAUUCAUCUCACGGGUAACGGGUAAGCGUAAUAUAUUUAUAAUGAUCGGACGGGUAAGGAUUCAUUUGCAUGUGCGUAUACUGUCUGAAAGUUUAUAUGUCAAAACGUGCUUCAAAAUUUUCCUGAGCCAAAACUUUCUUCAUCAUUAUGCCUUUUGAACAUUUCUAAGUCGGUCCAUGACGAAAAAAUUUAUUCGAUCAGCUCAAAAUUUUCUAAGUCUCAAACUUUAGUUGACUCAAGAUUGAUCCCACGGGUAACGGGUAAGCGUAAUAGAAUUCAUAAUGAUCGGACGGGUAAGGAUUCAUUUGAAUAUACGUAUACUGUCUGAAAGUUUAUAUGUCAAAAUGUGCUUUAAAAUUCUCCUGAGCCAAAACUUUCUCCAUCAUUAUGCGUUUUGAACAUUUCUAAGUCGGUCCAUGACGAAAAAACUUUUUCGAUCAGCUCGAAAUUUUCUAAUUCUCAAACUUUAGUUGACUCAAGAUUGAUCUCACGGGUAACGGGUAAGCGUAAUAGAAUUCAUAAUGAUCGGACGGGUAAGGAUUCAUUUGCAUAUACGUAUACUGUCUGAAAGUUUAUAUGUCAAAAUGUGCUUCAAAAUUCUCGUGAGCCAAAUCUUUCUGCAUCAUUAUGCGUUUUGAACAUUUCUAAGUCGGUCCACGACGAAAAAACUUUUUCGAUCAGCUCGAAAUUUUCUAAGUCUCAAACUUUAGUUGACUCAAGAUUGAUCCCACGGGUAACGGGUAAGCGUAAUAGAAUUCAUAAUGAUCGGACGGGUAAGGAUUCAUUUGCAUAUACGUAUACUGUCUGAAAGCUUAUAUGUCAAAAUGUGCUUUAAAAUUCUCCCGAGCCAAAACUUUCUCAAUCAUUAUGCGUUGUGAACAUUUCUAAGUCGGUCCAUGACAAAAAAACUUUUUCGAUCAGCUCGAAAUUUUCUAAUUCUCAAACUUUAGUUGACUCAAGAUUGAUCUCACGGGUAACGGGUAAGCGUAAUAGAAUUCAUAAUGAUCGGACGGGUAAGGAUUCAUUUGCAUAUACGUAUAUACUGUCUGAAAGUUUAUAUGUCAAAAUGUGCUUUAAAAUUCUCCUGAGCCAAGACUUUCUCUAUCAUUAUGCGUUUUGAACAUUUCUAAGUCGGUCCAUGACGAAAAACCUUUUUCGAUCAGCUCGAAAUUUUUUAAGUCUCAAACUUUAGUUGACUCAAGAUUCAUCUCACGGGUAACGGGUAAGCGUAAUAGAAUUCAUAAUGAUCGGACGGGUAAGGAUUCAUUUGCAUAUACGUGUACUGUCUGAAAGUUUAUAUGUCAAAAUGUGCUUUAAAAUUCUCCCGAGCCAAAACUUUCUCCAUCAUUAUGCGUUUUGAACAUUUCUAAAUCGGUCCAUGACGAAAAAACUUUUUCGAUCAGCUCGAAAUUUUCUAAGUCUCAAACUUUAAUUGACUCAAGAUUGAUUCCACGGGUAACGGGUAAGCGUAAUAGCAUUUCUAAUGAUAGGACGGGUAAGGAUUCAUUUGCAUGUACGUAUACUGUCUAAUAGUUUAUAUGUCAAAACGUGCUCCAAAUUUUUCUGAGCCAAAACUUUCUUCAUCAUUAUGCCUUUUGAACAUUUCUAAGUCGGUCCAUGACGAAAAAACUUUUUCUAUCAGCUCGAAAUUUUCUAAGUCUCAAACUUUAGUUGACUCAAGAUUGAUCUCACGGGUAACGGGUAAGCGUAAUAGAAUUCAUAAUGAUCGGACGGGUAAGGAUUCAUUUGCAUAUACGUGUACUGUCUGAAAGUUUAUAUGUCAAAAUGUGCUUUAAAAUUCUCCCGAGCCAAAACUUUCUCCAUCAUUAUGCGUUUUGAACAUUUCUAAAUCGGUCCAUGACGAAAAAACUUUUUCGAUCAGCUCGAAAUUUUCUAAGUCUCAAACUUUAGUUGACUCAAGAUUGAUCUCACGGGUAACGGGUAAGCGUAAUAGAAUUCAUAAUGAUAGGACGGGUAAGGAUUCAUUUGCAUACGUAUACUGUCUAAAAGUUUAUAUGUCAAAACGUGCUUCAAAAUUCUCCUGAGCCAAAACUUUCUUCAUCAUUAUGCGUUUUGAACAUUUCUAAGUCGGUCCAUGACGGAAAAAACUUUUUCGAUCGGCUCGAAGUUUUCUAAGUCUCAAACUUUAGAUCACUCAAGAUUGAUCUCACGGGUAACGGGUAAGCGUAGUAGAAUUCAUAAUUUUCGGACGGGUAAGGAUUCAUUUGCAUAUACGUAUACUGUCUGAAAGUUUAUAUGUCAAAAUGUGCUUCAAAAUUCUCCUGAGGCAAAACUUUCUCCAUCGUUAUGCGUUUUGAACAUUUCUAAGUCGGUCCAUGACGAAAAAACUUUUUCGAUCAGCUCGAAAUUUUUUAAGUCUCAAACUUUAGUUGACUCAAGAUUGAUCUGACGGGUAACGGGUAAGCGUAAUAGAAUUCAUAAUGAUCGGACGGGUAAGGAUUCAUUUGCAUAUACGUAUAUACUGUCUGAAAGUUUAUAUGUCAAAAUGUGCUUUAAAAUUCUCCUGAGCCAAAACUUUCUCCAUCAUUAUGCGUUUUGAAGAUUUCUAAGUCGGUCCAUGACGAAAAAAUUUAUUCGAUCAGCUCAAAAUUUUCUAAGUCUCAAACUUUAGUUCACUCAAGAUUGAUCCCACGGGUAACGGGUAAGCGUAAUAGAAUUCAUAACGAUCGGACGGGUAAGGAUUCAUUUGAAUUUACGUAUACUGUCUGAAAGUUUAUAUGUCAAAAUGUGCUUUAAAAUUCUCCCGAGCCAAAACUUUCUCCAUCAUUAUGCGUUUUGAACAUUUCUAAAUCGGUCCAUGACGAAAAAACUUUUUCGAUCAGCUCGAAAUUUUCUAAGUCUCAAACUUUAGUUGACUCAAGAUUGAUCUCACGGGUAACGGGUAAGCGUAAUAGAAUUCAUAAUGAUCGGACUGGUAAGGAUUUAUUUUCAUAUACGUAUAUACUGUCCGAAAGUUUAUAUGUCAAAAUGUGCUUUAAAAUUCUCCUGAGCCGAAACUUUCUCUAUAAUUAUUCGUUUUGAACAUUUCUAAAUCGGUGCAUGACGAAAAAAAUUUUUCGAUUAGCUCGAAAUUUUCUAAGUCUCGAACUUUAGUUGACUCAAGAUUGAUCUCACGGGUAACGGGUAAGCGUAAUAGAAUUCAUAAUGAUAGGACGGGUAAGGAUUCAUUUGCAUGUACGUAUACUGUCUAAAAGUUUAUAUGUCAAAACGUGCUUCAAAAUUUUCCUGAGCCAAAACUUUCUUCAUCAUUAUGCGUUUUGAACAUUUCUAAGUCGGUCCAUGACGAAAAAAUUUAUUCGAUCAGCUCAAAAUUUUCUAAGUCUCAAACUUUAGUUCACUCAAGAUUGAUCCCACGGGUAACGGGUAAGCGUAAUAGAAUUCAUAAUGAUCGGACGGGCAAGGAUUCAUUUGCAUAUACGUAUACUGUCUGAAAGUUUAUAUGUCAAAAUGUGCUUUAAAAUUCUCCCGAGCCAAAACUUUUUCCAUCAUUAUGCGUUUUGAACAUUUCUAAGUCGGUCCAUGACGAAAAAACUUUUUCGAUCAGCUCGAAAUUUUCUAAUUCUCAAACUUUAGUUGACUCAAGAUUGAUCUCACGGGUAACGGGUAAGCGUAAUAGAAUUCAUAAUGAUCGGGCGGGUAACGAUUCAUUUGUAUAUACGUAUACUGUCUGAAAGUUUAUAUGUCAAAAUGUGCUUCAAAAUUUCCUGAGCCAAAACUUUCUUCAUCAUUAUGCCUUUUGGACAUUUCUAAGUCGGUCCAUGACGAAAAAACUUUUUCGAUCAGCUCGAAAUUUUCUAAGUCUCAAACUUUAGUUGACUCAAAUUUGAUCUCACGGGUAACGGGUAAGCGUAAUAGAAUUCAUAAUGAUCGGACGGGUAAGGAUUCAUUUGCAUAUACGUAUACUGUCUGAAAGUUUAUAUGUUAAAAUGUGCUUCAAAAUUUUCCUGAGCGAAAACUUUCUUCAUCAUUAUGCCUUUUGGACAUUUCUAAGUCGGUUCAUGACGAAAAAGUUUAUUCGAUCAGCUCGAAAUUUUCUAAGUCCCAAACUUUAGUUCACUCCAGAUUGAUUCCACGGGUAACGGGUAAGCUUAAUACUAUUUAUAAUGUAGGACGGGUAAGGAUUCAUUUGCAUAUACGUAUACUGUCUGAAAGUUUAUAUGUCAAAAUGUGCUUCAAAAUUCUCCUGCGCCAAAACUUUCUCCAUCAUUAUGCGUUUUCAACAUUUCUAAAUCGGUCCAUGACGGAAAAAACUUUUUCGAUCUGCUCGAAAUUUUCUAAGUCUCAAACUUUAGUUGACUCAAAUUUGAUCUCACGGGUAACGGGUAAGCGUAAUAGAAUUCAUAAUGAUUGAACGGGUAAGGAUUCAUUUGCAUAUACGUAUACUGUCUGAAAGUUUAUAUGUCAAAAUGUGCUUCAAAAUUUUCCUGAGCCAAAACUUUCUUCAUCAUUAUGCCUUUUGGACAUUUCUAAAUCGGUCCAUGACGAAAUAGUUAUUCGAUCAGCUCGAAAUUUUCUAAGUCCCAAACUUUAGUUGACUCAAGAUUGAUCUCACGGGUAACGGGUAAGCGUAAUAGAAUUUAUAAUGUAGGACGGGUAAGGAUUCAUUUGCAUAUACGUAUACUGUCUGAAAGUUUAUAUGUCAAAAUGUGCUUCAAAAUUUUGCUGAGCCAAAACUUUCUUCAUCAUUAUGCCUUUUGGACAUUUCUAAGUCCGUCCAUGACGAAAAAGUUUAUUCGAUCAGCUCGAAAUUUUCUAAGUUCCAAACUUUAGUUGACUCAAGAUUGAUCCCACGGGUAACGGGUAAGCGUAAUAGAAUUCAUAAUGAUUGGACGGGUAAGGAUUCAUUUGCAUAUACGUAUAUACUGUCUGAAAGUUUAUAUGUCAAAAUGUUUAUAUGUUAUACACUGUCUAUAUUAUAGAUGUAGUUUUUUUAUAAGAAUGCUUUUGCAUGAGUAUUGUGUUAUUUCGCUACCCGCAUACCCAAUGCGCACGCGCUGGGUUAUUGCGUCCCACAAGCCUUCCAUCAACGGAGUCGCAACUGUAUAUACACGGAACCCGUACCAUGUAGUAAUGUGUGGAAGGCGAUAUAUUCCAGAAUCUUGCGAAAAGGGUGUCGGCACAUAAUGGUUUAGGGGCCGCCAGCACUCUCCCUCGUAGUUCGUUAAGAUACCGUAUGGUAUAUAUCACCAUGUCUCAAGCAGUGUGGAUUAUAACGGUCGGCAAUCGGCUAUUUGCCGAACAAAAACACCAAAUGGCUGAUCAAAUUCAUUCUGCACGGACAUUUUGUCCGAUCAAAUAAAAUACACCACGCUGUUCAUUUAAAUUGAAGGUAGUUUAUGUGAAAAGUACUGUUUGAAAAGCAUCUAGCUAUGCCUACUAUACCAUGCAAUCAAUAAAUAUUUAGAUGAAAAAAUCACUCCGAGGAAACAUUGUCAUUGAGCUUCUCUUUUAGCAAAUACUCUCUCAAGUGACCGCAUCUCGAUAGUUACAGUCCAUAGCCGGCGGCGUUUACAAUACUUACUACUUACAAAAAUAUGUUUAAUUUCUAUAUUAGUUUAUAUAUUAGUAAAUACCUUUAUUUUCUAAAGAAACUCAAACAAAGUGAAGGCGCGGAGGACGUUGCUAGUUGCAAACGUGCAAUCAAUAAUGGUACGUCGGAGGACGUUGCUAGCAUGCAAACGUGCAAUCAAUAAUGGUACGUCGAUCUGUAGCACUGUCACGUAAAAUGGUUUAAAUAGUUGGCUGACCAUUCUUGGCCAAUGUCCGAGCAACAGUCUCGUUCAUCGGACAUUUGUCAGACCUAAGCAAAAACGUGAUAAUCCACGCUGCAUGUCUGGCGGCUAACACGAGACAACUCCCGUUCUCGUCGUGUUAGCUGGAAAUUUUUAUUUAUUUCUAGUAAUUUUUAUUUGCACACAUAUAAGAUAUAUGUUUUCAACAGCAAAAAUUUUCCUUUCAAAAAUUGUCAACCUUUCACCAUGUAAAACAUGUCCAGCACGUUUUUUAUAUACAUAUAUUUCUGUAUAUUUAGAAAAUUUAGAUCAAACAGGGAAAAUUUUUCUCACAAACAGACGAAUAUACGAGCGUGCUCAUGGGCAUACUGGAUAAUAAGGAAGGUAGAUUUCGGCAUACCCUGCAGUAGCCUCGGCGAUUUGUCGCGAUGAAUUAAGGAUGUGGGAUAUCGGAAGACCUGGUAGGUAGCCACUGUUUGUGAUGGCUAUAUGAAAAAGCAGUAUGUGGCCCUUUAAUUAGCUGCAGUACUAGUAUAGUUGAGAAAUCCGGGUAAGGUGGAGCGAAGAACAAUCUAAAAGCCUACUGAUAAAGCCUCUAUAAGCCUACUGAUUAAGACGGAUCAACAAGUCUGCAAGUCAAAAUGUGCUUUAAAAUUCCCCUGAACCAAAAUUUUCUCCAUCAAUAUGCGUUUUGAAUCUUUUUAGGUUGAUCUAUGUCUAUGACGAAAAAACUCGGAUGUUCCAUCAGUCCGAAAUUUAGUUGACUCGAGAAUCCCGGAUAACGGAUAAGGUUAGUAUAACUUAUUAUGAAGGACGGAUAACGAACAUUUCCACUAGUCAUCUCAAAUUUGAAAAUGUGUUCUAAAAUUCUCCCGGGCCAUAAC
rnacentral:lncRNA from 1 species